rnacentral:rRNA from 1 species
UUCUCAGGAUGAACGCUGGCGGCGUGCCUAAUACAUGCAAGUCGAGCGAACUGAUUAGAAGCUUGCUUCUAUGACGUUAGCGGCGGACGGGUGAGUAACACGUGGGCAACCUGCCUGUAAGACUGGGAUAACUUCGGGAAACCGAAGCUAAUACCGGAUAGGAUCUUCUCCUUCAUGGGAGAUGAUUGAAAGAUGGUUUCGGCUAUCACUUACAGAUGGGCCCGCGGUGCAUUAGCUAGUUGGUGAGGUAACGGCUCACCAAGGCAACGAUGCAUAGCCGACCUGAGAGGGUGAUCGGCCACACUGGGACUGAGACACGGCCCAGACUCCUACGGGAGGCAGCAGUAGGGAAUCUUCCGCAAUGGACGAAAGUCUGACGGAGCAACGCCGCGUGAGUGAUGAAGGCUUUCGGGUCGUAAAACUCUGUUGUUAGGGAAGAACAAGUACGAGAGUAACUGCUCGUACCUGACGGUACUA